rnacentral:lncRNA from 1 species
AAUUUGGAGAUGAUUUUAUCUUUUAAAAUUAAAUUUGAGAGUAGUUUUAUCAACUAUUGGAUAGUGUUACCUGUUAAUGAUUCCUUGUCUCCUGAGUUAAAUGAAGAUUCAUGGUGCCUUUUCUGUCCUAAACUUUUUCCAGCUCUUUGGUAGAAAUAAAGGCUGUUGAAUUCUUUUUGAUUUGCAUUAGAAUCAGAAGCACGAAAUAAAUCCAAACUGGGGACAGAUGGUAAUUCUCUCCAGAAAGUCUCAUCUUUUGAACUUUCACAUGUGAGGCCUUCAGACUCAUCUGAUAGACAUUUUUGCUGAUCAGUGAAUAAAUUACCUUUCUGAGAGUACAAUUUGUUACAUGCAGUCUGCUGUGCACCAUAUUGUAAGUUGAACGGGUGAUUCUCUUGUUCCCAUAUAUUUUUCUUAAAGUUCCAAUGAAGAGGAGAUUGAGUGCCCUCUAGUGAAAAGAUAGGGUCCGAUACAUCUUUAUUUAUGAAACCUUUUGCUUCAUGUGUUCUCCUUUUCUGAGAAUUUAUAAAACGGGGGACAACUGACACUCUCUUCUGAGUGUCAGUUGGUGAUUUUAUAGUUUCACAGUUCAUUUGUGUUAGACCCAAAGAAAAGACAUCUGACUCUGAAUCACUGUGGUUUAGAAAGGAGUUAUAAGCCGGUCUCCUUGAUUCUAUAUUAAUUAGAAAAGGAGUAUUCUGCCCUAUAUUAGAUUUACAGCUGGAGUCUUUCCAGUAGCUGGUCUGAUUGUAUGAAGUCACAGGUGGUAAAAAACUUGAGAUUUCUUUUAGUUCCAUAAUGGAAGAGUUGUCAUUCAAAAUGGUGGUUUUGUCUUCCUGCACUGUCUCUCCUAAUCCUAAAUACUGAUAAUAUUCAUUAUGUUCUUGAAUGACAGAGUCUAAAUCAGAAGCUGAACUUUGAGAAGACAAGGUACUAAUCUGAUUCCUAUUUUCCUGAGGUGACGAAAUUUGCGGUGAUUUUGUUAUGGAAGAAGAACCAAUCUUGAAUAGGGAAGUGAUGCUACAAAAAUGCUAAAAAAUGAAUUAAUAUAAUGCAAAUGUCAGUUUAGUAAAUAUAAAUAAUGAUGCUUAUCUAUAUGGAAAGAAGGCAAAAUAUAAAUAGGUAGUCUAUUCAUAGAUAUUACAUUGAUCCAGGUAUUAAGAACAUGAAAUCAUUAGGCUCUAUUAAAAGAAAAAUUCAUUGUAAUUCAUACUUAUUUUCUAAUCACUUGUAAUAGAAUUUUUAAUAGUCUAUUUUUCAGAACAAUUUUAGGCUCACAGCAAAUACAAUAGAAUUUUAGUUAUACAAUUCAUACAUGAAUACUAUUUCCUUGAUAAGAAUUUUAAAAUAUUACCAGUAAGGCUAAAGUUAUCUUUACAGCUAGAAUUAAGGGUAUGUUAGGACUGUUUGGAAGAGGUAACGUAAAUACAUGUGAAUAGGGUAUAUAACUGAAUUUUCUAUGAGCACAAUAAUAUUCCAAAAUGAUUUAAAGCUGACUAUAUUGAAUUUAUCUGUAUAAAAUAGCUUUAGAAUGUAUAAUAUAGGCUGGGGUUUAUGGCUCAUGCCUGUAAUCCUAGCACUUUGGGAGGCCAAGGCAGUUAGAUCACUUGAGGUCAGGAGUUUGAGACCAGCCUGGCCAACAUGGUAAGACCCUGUCUCUACUAAAAAUACAAAACUUAACCAGGUGUGGUGGUGCACAACUGCAGUCCUAGCUGCUCGGGAGGCUGAGGCACGAGAAUUGCUUGAACCCAGGAGCUGGAGACUGCAGUGAGCCGAGAUCAAGCCAUUGCACUCCAGCCUGGGUGACAGAGGGAGACUCCAUCUCAAAAAAAAAGAAAAAAAUACUGUAAUCCCAGCACUUUGGGAGGCCAAGGUGGGUGGAUCACCUGAGGUCAGGAGUUUGAGACCAGACUGACCAAGAUGGUGAAACCCCGUUUCUACAAAAAAAAAAAAAAAAAAAAAAAAAAUCAAAAUUAGCCAGGCAUGGUGAUGUAUACUUAUAAUCCCAGCUACUUGGGAGGCUGAGGCAGGAAAAUCUCUUGAACUUGGGAGGUGGAGGUUGCAGUGAGCUGAGAUUGUACCAUUGCACUCCAGCCUGGAAAAAUAAAUAAAUAAAAUAAAAAAUAAAAUAAAAUGUAUAAUUGAUAGCUAAUGAAACGUCUAUAUGAAAUUUAGUUCAAGUAAAUUAUUUCCUUGCUAUUUGAAGUCCAAAACAAUUAAACUUGGAUACCUUCAUUUUAAAAAUCCUAUUGUAAAAAUAGAUACUCAAAUCGAAAGGAAAUAAAUUCAUAUCAUAGUACAGAUCUCAAAUAACUAACCUUUAACACUUUUUCUGGGACUUCAGGUAGGAGUUCCUGAAGUUGACACAGAGUUGCUAAUAAUAUCCAAUGCAGUGAAGGUCCUUUAUUUAGCAUGAGCUGAGCCACCAAUGGGUUAAUACAUGGAAAAUCAAGUAAGUACAUUUCUUCCUAGAAAAGAGUUUAAGAAAUAAUCAGUCAGUAGUCUUUUGAAAGUGAGCCAUUUUAUUCUACAAGUAAGUACAUUUCUUCCUAGAAAAGAGUUUAAUAGUCAGUAGUCUUUCGAAAGUGAUCCAUUUUAUUCUACUCGUUGCAGCAGAUUAAAACUUUUGUUAUUGCACCUACCACUCAAUUUGAGACAUUUGGGGGAAAAAUGUUACCAGAAAGUAAAUUCAAAUACAGGUUUUUAUAUUUGCUUUGCAAUUAUCUAUUUUACACAUUUAGAAAAUAUACCUCAGAUGGUGAAACUUUAAGCCAGGAUUUAUCCAACCAUUCAUGAGGAUCUCUCUUUGAGGUCAUUAAACUGUGGUCAGCAAUUUGUCGAAUUAUCAAGGCAGUUGCUUCUACUCCUGGGGCAAUUAUAAGCUAAAAAAUAUUUUUUAUGUUAGAUUAUAGGAAAUACUAGGAAGCAAAAUAUAAUAUUUUUUAAACAGUUUGUAAUUAGAAGAUAAAAUUAAACAACA